GUUGUGCAACAGAAGAGUGAUGUGCCACAAUGAUCGGAAGAUUUGUUGCUUUGACCUUUUUAAAUUUUCUGUCUCUGAUUCAGAGUCACGAGGUUCCUCAGCAAAUCUCUUUGAUUGUGGCUGAACUUGGGGAUAACUUGAAUCUGACAUGUUCAGUCUCUGGGGAGCAACCCAGGUUAUUGUACUGGUAUAAGCUGAGUUUUGGAAAUAUGUUCCAAAGGGUUGCUGUAGGAUACCUGGACUACCCAGCACUUGAAGGUCCCUUCGACAGCUCAAGAUUCAGUGUCACGAAAGCGGGUGAUGUGUUUUCUCUCACUAUAAGAAAUAUAAGCAAAGAAGAUGAGGCAACAUAUCUCUGUCAAGGAGGAUCUUCAUACACAAUGGCAUAUUUCAAUGGCACACUUCUGGCUGUAAAUGAUCCCAAACAUCAGCAGAAAUUUGUCCGCGUGGAACAAAGUCCAGAUGAGGAGUUGGUCCCACUGGGAAACUCAGUGACUCUGAGGUGUUCACUUCUCUACAAGAACAAAGAAAACACAAGUCGGUGUCCAGGAGAACACCGUGUGCACUGGUUCAGAGCUGGAUCAGAAUCCGAUCCAGGCAUCAUUUACACUGACAGCACCUGUAGUGAUAAACCGGAGGAAAGGAGCUGCGUCUACAGUCUGUCCAAAACCAUAAGAGAGGACUCUGAUGCGGGAACUUAUUACUGUGCUGUGGCCAUGUGUGGACAGAUCCUGUUUGGUCAAGGAACUAAAGUGGAGACAAGAAAAGAACAGCAUCUGCUUGUGAUUGUCAUUGGGACACUGCUGGCCUGCUCCCUGCUUGUGAAUUGUGCCCUGUUUUUCACCAGAAAACCAAAGCAAGCCUGCGAACAUUGCAAAGGAGAAGUUACAGCUUCCAAUCGUGUUGAACUGGAUCGAUCAGCUGAGGAUCAACGGAACAAUGUGGAUGGUGAGGAGGUCGAAAUAAACUACGUGGCACUGGAUUUCUCAUCAAGAAAAGCUAAAAGAUGGAAGAAUAAGCGGGAUUUACCAGAGGACUGUAUGUACUCUGGCAUGAGAGAAUACCACUGAAGUGCAGUCCAGAAGAAGAAUGAACAUCAACAUAAUAUGAACAUGCACCACGUGAUUCCUGCUGAGAGACUCAUCAAGUAUUGACCUGAUCCUGGUUCCUCUUCGAGCAUGACAGCAUCCACAAUCCCGUCUACUUGCUGGCCACUCUUUCCAUAUUUACGCAGUUUCCAGCCAAGAGGUUCCGCAUCACAUAGUCAAGGCCAUGGGCUGUUGGUCGUCGUAAGCAUAUCAAGACCUACAUCACACCAAGUCUUCUUUCCAUUCUUAAAGGCAGCUUUUUGGGAGCCACCACAGAUCCCUGAUGAAUGCUUCCAAAGCACUGCUCACAGCUCAACCAAGUCGUCAGCAAUAUAGCAUCCAUUUGCUUUUAUUUUGCAUUCAAGCUUCAGAUUAAUGGUGUGGUCCUUGCUAGUGAAAUUAAUAAAGUAAAAUUACAAAACUCACCCUGUCAUAAAUAAACUGUUGGCUCAAUGUAUGAGUCCAGUUUCCUAUCCAUCCAUCUAUCCAUCCAUCCAUUCUCUAUACACUGCUUUAUCCUCACUUGGGUCACGGAGGUGCUGGAGCCUAUCCCAGCUGACUUGGGCGAAGGCAGGGACACCCUGGACAGGUCACCAGUCUGUCGCAGGGCUACAUAUACAGACAAUCACUCUCACAUUCACACCAAUGGACAAUUGAGAAUAAUCAGUUAACCUCAGCAUAUUUUUGGACUGUGGGAGGAAGCUGGAGUACCCAGAAAGAACCCAUGCAUGCUCAAGGAGAACAUGCAAACCCCAUGCAGAAACAUCCUGGGAAGGCUGAAACGCAAACCGGGAUCUUCUAGCUGCAAGAUGAAAGUUCCUAACCACCAAGCCACUGUGCAGCCCCCCAGUUUCCUGUACCUAUUAAAUAAAUAAUGUGUGGAGUUUAUUUCAAUAUA